rnacentral:rRNA from 1 species
UACGUAGGGUGCAAGCGUUAAUCGGAAUUACUGGGCGUAAAGCGUGCGCAGGCGGCUUUGCAAGACAGAUGUGAAAUCCCCGGGCUUAACCUGGGAACUGCAUUUGUGACUGCAAGGCUGGAGUGCGGCAGAGGGGGAUGGAAUUCCGCGUGUAGCAGUGAAAUGCGUAGAUAUCCGGAGGAACACCAGUGGCGAAGGCGGCCACCUGGGCUGUACCUGACGCUCCAACACGAAAGCUAGGGGAGCGAACGGG